UACGGGGGGGCAAGCGUUGUUCGGAAUUACUGGGCGUAAAGGGUUCGUAGGUGGCUUGCUCAGUCAGACGUGAAAUCCCUCAGCUUAACUGGGGAACUGCGUCUGAUACUGGCGAGCUUGAGUGCAGGAGAGGAACGCGGAAUUCCAGGUGUAGCGGUGAAAUGCGUAGAUAUCUGGAGGAACACCGGUGGCGAAGGCGGCGUUCUGGACUGCAACUGACACUGAGGAACGAAAGCCAGGGAGCAAACGGG
rnacentral:rRNA from 1 species